rnacentral:tRNA from 1 species
GAAGAUAUAGCUCAGUGGUACAGUGCAUUCCUAGUAUGCAUGAGGUCCUGGGUUCAAUCCCCAGUACCUCCA